CUGAGACUUCAGCAUCUUCAGCUCCAUCUCCAGCUAGGAGAAAGCAAAGGAUAGAGGGUCAGCAGACACGAGCGCACCCAGCCUGAUGGCUUUUUAUACAUGUCUUCACCUACGUAUCCACCGUCCAGAUCAGGACACAGAAUUCUCAGCACGCCUGAAAGCUCUCGCAUGCUCCUGCUCAGUCAAUAGCUCCAGAUGCGGCUUCAAGUACGUGUGAUGCACCUGUGUGACCCCUCAGCUCAGCACCAACCUCUGCUGCAGCUUGGAACCACACGCCAGUCC